rnacentral:rRNA from 1 species
UGGGGAAUAUUGCACAAUGGGCGCAAGCCUGAUGUAGCCAUGCCGCGUGUAUGAAGAAGGCCUUCGGGUUGUAAAGUACUUUCAGCGAGGAGGAAGGCGUUGUGGUUAAUAACCGCAACGAUUGACGUUACUCGCAGAAGAAGCACCGGCUAACUCCGUGCCAGCAGCCGCGGUAAUACGGAGGGUGCAAGCGUUAAUCGGAAUUACUGGGCGUAAAGCGCACGCAGGCGGUCUGUCAAGUCGGAUGUGAAAUCCCCGGGCUCAACCUGGGAACUGCAUCCGAAACUGGCAGGCUAGAGUCUUGUAGAGGGGGGUAGAAUUCCAGGUGUAGCGGUGAAAUGCGUAGAGAUCUGGAGGAAUACCGGUGGCGAAGGCGGCCCCCUGGACAAAGACUGACGCUCAGGUGCGAAAGCGUGGGGAGCAAACA